rnacentral:rRNA from 1 species
GACGAACCGUGCGAACGUUGUUCGGAAUCACUGGGCUUAAAGGGCGCGUAGGCGGUCGAUCACGUCCGGGGUGAAAGCUUUCGGCUUAACCGGAAAAGUGCCUUGGAUACGGGUCGGCUUGAGGGAGGUAGGGGCAAGCGGAACUUCCGGUGGAGCGGUGAAAUGCGUUGAUAUCGGAAGGAACGCCGGUGGCGAAAGCGGCUGCUGGAUCUCUUCUGACGCUG